UACGUAGGGUGCGAGCGUUAAUCGGAAUUACUGGGCGUAAAGCGUGCGCAGGCGGUUCGUUAAGUUCGUUGUGAAAGCCCCGGGCUCAACCUGGGAACUGCAAUGGAAACUGGCGGGCUUGAAUGCGGCAGAGGGGGGUGGAAUUCCGCGUGUAGCAGUGAAAUGCGUAGAGAUGCGGAGGAACACCGAUGGCGAAGGCAGCCCCCUGGGCUAACACUGACGCUCAGGCACGAAAGCGUGGGGAGCAAACAGG
rnacentral:rRNA from 1 species